rnacentral:rRNA from 1 species
GACGAACCGUCCGAACGUUAUUCGGAAUCACUGGGCUUAAAGGGUGCGUAGGCGGGUCGUUAAGUCAGGGGUGAAAUCCCGGAGCUCAACUCCGGAACUGCCUUUGAUACUGGCGAUCUUGAGUUCGAGAGAGGUGAGUGGAACUGCGAGUGUAGAGGUGAAAUUCGUAGAUAUUCGCAAGAACACCAGUGGCGAAGGCGGCUCACUGGCUCGAUACUGACGCUGAGGUGCGAAAGCGUGGGGAGCAAACAGG